rnacentral:rRNA from 1 species
CUUGAGUUUGAUUCCCGCUCAGGACGAACGCUGGCGGCGUGCUUAACACAUGCAAGUCGAGCGGUAAGGCCUUUCGGGGUACACGAGCGGCGAACGGGUGAGUAACACGUGGGUGAUCUGCCCUGCACUUCGGGAUAAGCCUGGGAAACUGGGUCUAAUACCGGAUAUGACCUCAGGUUGCAUGACUUGGGGUGGAAAGAUUUAUCGGUGCAGGAUGGGCCCGCGGCCUAUCAGCUUGUUGGUGGGGUAAUGGCCUACCAAGGCGACGACGGGUAGCCGACCUGAGAGGGUGACCGGCCACACUGGGACUGAGACACGGCCCAGACUCCUACGGGAGGCAGCAGUGGGGAAUAUUGCACAAUGGGCGAAAGCCUGAUGCAGCGACGCCGCGUGAGGGAUGACGGCCUUCGGGUUGUAAACCUCUUUCAGCAGGGACGAAGCGCAAGUGACGGUACCUGCAGAAGAAGCACCGGCUAACUACGUGCCAGCAGCCGCGGUAAUACGUAGGGUGCAAGCGUUGUCCGGAAUUACUGGGCGUAAAGAGUUCGUAGGCGGUUUGUCGCGUCGUUUGUGAAAACCAGCAGCUCAACUGCUGGCUUGCAGGCGAUACGGGCAGACUUGAGUACUGCAGGGGAGACUGGAAUUCCUGGUGUAGCGGUGAAAUGCGCAGAUAUCAGGAGGAACACCGGUGGCGAAGGCGGGUCUCUGGGCAGUAACUGACGCUGAGGAACGAAAGCGUGGGUAGCGAACAGGAUUAGAUACCCUGGUAGUCCACGCCGUAAACGGUGGGCGCUAGGUGUGGGUUCCUUCCACGGAAUCCGUGCCGUAGCUAACGCAUUAAGCGCCCCGCCUGGGGAGUACGGCCGCAAGGCUAAACUCAAAGGAUUGA